GACGAGCCACACGAACGUUAUUCGGAAUUACUGGGCUUAAAGGGUGCGUAGGCGGUGCGGAAGGUUGGGUGUGAAAUACCUCGGCUCAACCGAGGAACUGCGCCCAAAACUACCGCACUCGAGGAAGAUAGAGGUGAGCGGAACUUACGGUGGAGCGGUGAAAUGCGUUGAUAUCGUAAGGAACACCCGUGGCGAAAGCGGCUACACUGGGUCUUCUCUGACGCUGAUGCACGAAAGCUAGGGGAGCAAACGGG
rnacentral:rRNA from 1 species